UCUUCUUGCCUUGUGCAGAACACCAUAUAUAACAAGAUUACUGCUUCCUCUCAGUAAUUCUCCAAGCAAAUUUCAGAAACUCUUUGCUAAUGGCCUUUUCGUGUAGCAUAGUGUCCAAAUCCAUGGUAAUAUUUCCCAGCUUCAAGCCGUGUCUACUCAAGACAAUAAUAGCCAUAAGAUGCCUAAAUACAACAAGGAGGCCGCCAAGGCCACCCGUAAAAACUAAACCACCACAAAACAACAAUUACAAAGACAAGAAAGAGACUCUGAUGACAGAGGAGAACAGUAACAGAAAGCUCCAAGACGAUAAUUCCAUGGUCAAAUCAAACUAGGAAUCUUGUUUCUUAAAGCUAAUAAGUCAUUCGUACUUAGUCUAAAGUUAUUCUGUAGUAGGUGCUUGUAUUGUCCGGAUUGUAAUAUAGGGUUUGUUAUGCAUGGAUAUUCGUAAUAAUGCAAAAGUUGUAAUAUAAGAGCUGUAAUGCAGAAAUUGUAAUAUACGGAUAAUAAUGCAUGGAUUACUAAUAUAUAUGAAUUGUACGUAA